UAUUACUCUGCGCCCUCCUUGCAUUCGAGCGGUAAGGCCCUUCGGGUACACGAGAGGCGAACGGGUGAGUAACACGUGAGCAACCUGCCCCUGACUCCGGGAUAAGCCGGGGAAACCCGGUCUAAUACCGGAUGGGACGCCUCGUCGCAUGGCGGGGUGUGGAAAGGUGUCUUUCCGGUCAGGGAGGGGCUCGCGGCCUAUCAGCUUGUUGGUGGGGUGAAGGCCUACCAAGGCGAUUACGGGUAGCCGGCCUGAGAGGGCGACCGGCCACACUGGGACUGAGACACGGCCCAGACUCGUACGGGAGGCAGCAGUGGGGAAUAUUGCGCAAUGGGCGGAAGCCUGACGCAGCGACGCCGCGUGGGGGAUGACGGCCUUCGGGUUGUAAACCUCUUUUACCACCGACGCAGGCCCGCGCUUCUGUGCGGGUUGACGGUAGGUGGGGAAUAAGGACCGGCCAACUACGUGCCAGCAGCCGCGGUAAUACGUAGGGUCCGAGCGUUGUCCGGAAUUAUUGGGCGUAAAGAGCUCGUAGGUGGCGUGUCGCGUCUGCUGUGUAAGUCCGGGGCUUAACUCCGGUUUUGCAGUGGAUACGGGCAUGCUAGAGGUAGGCAGGGGAGACUGGAAUUCCUGGUGUAGCGGUGAAAUGCGCAGAUAUCAGGAGGAACACCGGUGGCGAAGGCGGGUCUCUGGGCCUUACCUGACGCUGAGGAGCGAAAGCGUGGGGAGCGAACAGGAUUAGAUACCCUGGUAGUCCACGCUGUAAACGUUGGGCGCUAGGUGUGGGGACUUUCCACGGUUUCCGUGCCGUAGCUAACGCAUUAAGCGCCCCGCCUGGGGAGUACGGCCGCAAGGCUAAAACUCAAAGGAAUUGACGGGGGCCCGCACAAGCGGCGGAGCAUGUUGCUUAAUUCGACGCAA
rnacentral:rRNA from 1 species